UACGAAGGGGGCUAGCGUUGCUCGGAUUGACUGGGCGUAAAGAGCGCGCAGGCGGUCGUUCAAGUCGCGUGUGAAAGCCCCCGGCUCAACUGGGGAGGGUCACGCGAUACUGAUCGACUCGAAGGCAGGAGAGGGUAGUGGAAUUCCCGGUGUAGUGGUGAAAUGCGUAGAUAUCGGGAGGAACACCAGUGGCGAAGGCGACUACCUGGCCUGUUUCUUGACGCUGAGGCGCGAAAGCUAGGGGAGCAAACGGGG
rnacentral:rRNA from 1 species